rnacentral:piRNA from 1 species
ACCCUUGCAGCAGUGCUUCUUGGUACC